rnacentral:tRNA from 1 species
GCCUGGGUGGCACAGCGGUUAAGCGUCUGCCUUCGGCUCAGAACGUGAUCCCAGCUGUUGUGGGAUCGAGCCCCACAUCAGGCU